rnacentral:lncRNA from 10 species
AGGGUGUGGAUCACUUUAAGAUUACCGGCAAAUGCCUGAUUAGUUUGUUUAAAGGAAACAGCGGGAAAGUGGGAGCCCAGUCCGCUAGGCAGGAGAGAUGCCUCUAAGUUCUCAUCUCCGGCCACUGGCUUAAGCCAUUUGGGUGUGGUAUAGAACGGAAACUGUGCCAGGGUUAGCUGAGUCCUUCCUCUGGAUGAGAAAGUUAAAUUUGCAUUCAAAAUGGAUGCCAAGGAAACAUAAAAAUUGUAAGAAUUCAUUACAAUCUGGUCAAUAUAAGAAAUCAAAUGCAUUUUUAUAUACUAACAGUGAACAUUUGGAAAAUGAAAUUUUUAAAAAUCCAUGAUUACAAUAACAAAAAAAAGAAAAGCGUGCAAAAAUGUGCAAGACUUGAACACUCUCCAGGUUCCUCAGCCUUUGGACUCUUAGAUUUGCACCAGUGGUUUGCCAGCUCUAGCUCUAUUGGUGAGGCAGUUCUACUAGUUUGGGGCUAGUCCUAGAAACCAGUAAACUUUGCUGCCAGAGGGAGCUAACUUGAUUUGGAGUAGAAUGCAAAACAAACAAACAAACAACAAAAUCCUACCCCCAGUGGCACUGUCUGUAACAGCAGCCAUCUCAGUGGCAAACCCUGAGGAAGAGCAGUGGCUCAGCUAGCCUGAGGUUGCAGUCCUGACUGGGACAAGAAACAGAGCAGCAGACUAGCCAGAAAAUUAACCACGUCCAGGAAAUGAGACUGCUUGGAUACCACUGAUCAGCCACAUGGAGAGACUGGAGAGAGCCUGAGCCGCCCACUGGCUGGCCAUGAGCCUGCACAGAUACAUACACAGAGGAGAUGCAGCAGGACCCGGCUGAAAGUUCAAGCCAGGACAGACUUGGAAGCUGCCUGAACUUGGAACACUCUCCCCGAACCACGUACUGACCUAUUGGCUCAGGCUGUUUGAGCACAGCCUCUGGGCAAUCAUUGGCUGCACACUAAGCUAUGCAGACACAUGGGUGACCCGUAGAAACCAUACUUAAAAAUGAAAACAAGAAUUUAAA